rnacentral:rRNA from 1 species
UACGGAGGGUGCAAGCAUUAAUCGGAUUUAUUGGGCGUAAAGGGCGCGUAGGCGGAAAUAUAAGUCAGGUGUGAAAUCCCGGGGCUCAACCCCGGAACAGCAUUUGAAACUAUAUAUCUAGAGGGUAGGCGGAGAAAACGGAAUUCCACAAGUAGCGGUGAAAUGCGUAGAUAUGUGGAAGAACACCGGUGGCGAAGGCGGUUUUCUAGCUUAUACCUGACGCUAAUGCGCGAAAGCAAGGGGAUCAAACAGG